rnacentral:sRNA from 1 species
ACUCCACAGUCAGCCCUUGGUUGUUCAGACCUCCUGUUCCUCAUGGUGCUUCUGGUUUGAUGGCCUGAAACACCCCUGAGCGUCCUUGAGUUUUGGGUGGGCAUGAAUUCAGAAUCUAGCUUGAUCUCCCUUUGAUGUCCUGGCUUUGCAGUCAUAAGAAAUCUAGUAGGUCCCCACCCUGACACACACACACACAACACACACACGGACACACACGUCUGCCUCCUUUAGUGAGUGCUUUGGAGAGGGACAGGUCUGGUGCAUCUGUGUACUCCUGACUCAUGUAGUUAUGUCCCACUUUAUCCAAGCACUGUCUGGAGCUCAACCCUAUGCCAGGAGAUAUGGGAAGAGAGCAGAGAUAGGUGAGAUGUGGUGCUUUAAUUUUAAAAAUUAAAAAUUAGUAAACAAGUCUUCUGGGAGAUGAUCUCUGAUUAUUAUUGUUAUCAAGGUACAAAAUAUGUACCUUUUAGUCAUGUCUCUGUUGGUUCUAAGUGGCAGAAACCCAAAUCAAACUAGCUUAUGCAAAAUUGAGAGGGAAUUAUGUGGCUCAUAUCACUCAAAAGUGUAGGGUGGGCUUCAGGCAUGGUUGGACCCAGGGGCUCAAAUGAUGUUUCUGGGACUUGAUUCUGCACUCUAUCGCUCAGCUAUGUAGAUGAACAGCCCACCUGGGGCUGCUGCAAUGUGAGAUGCCACUGACUGUUGCUAAGGUAUCUCGUGGAGCCUCGCUCCUGAUUUCCAAAUCCUGGCCUUGUCACCUCCACGACUCAGACCUGGGCUGUCACAUGAGACUGAACUCUCCAGAGCUGUAUCUCCAGCUCCAACCCAGAGGCCUCCUUUCCUUGCCAGAACACUGGGCAGAUACAACAGGGAUCAUCCAUGAAGAUGGCUUCUCCGGAGAAGAUGUGAAACAGUACAAGCCUGUUGUCUACAGCAACACCAUCCAGUCCCUGGCAGCCAUCGUCCGGGCCAUGGACACUUUGGGCAUCGAAUAUGGUGAUAAGGAGAGAAAGGCUGACGCCAAGAUGGUGUGUGACGUGGUGAGUCGGAUGGAAGACACCGAGCCCUUCUCUGCAGAGCUGCUUUCUGCCAUGAUGCGGCUCUGGGGCGACUCAGGAAUCCAAGAGUGCUUCAACCGGUCCCGGGAGUAUCAGCUCAACGACUCUGCCAAAUACUACCUGGACAGCCUGGAUCGGAUUGGGGCCGCCGACUACCAGCCCACCGAGCAGGACAUCCUCCGAACCAGGGUCAAAACCACUGGCAUCGUAGAAACCCACUUCACAUUCAAGAACCUCCACUUCAGGCUGUUUGACGUCGGAGGCCAGCGAUCUGAACGCAAGAAGUGGAUCCAUUGCUUCGAGGACGUCACGGCCAUCAUUUUCUGUGUCGCACUCAGCGGCUAUGACCAGGUGCUCCACGAAGACGAAACCACGAACCGCAUGCACGAGUCUCUCAUGCUCUUCGACUCCAUCUGUAACAACAAGUUCUUCAUCGAUACCUCCAUCAUUCUCUUCCUCAACAAGAAAGAUCUCUUUGGCGAGAAGAUCAAGAAGUCACCUUUGACCAUCUGCUUUCCUGAAUACACAGGCCCCAAUACCUAUGAAGACGCAGCCGCCUACAUCCAAGCACAAUUUGAAAGCAAAAACCGCUCACCCAACAAA